UACAUAGGUCUCAAGCGUUGUUCGGAUUUAUUGGGCGUAAAGGGCGCGUAGGCGGUCAGCACAAGUCAGUUGUGAAAUCUCCGGGCUUAACUCGGAAAGGUCAACUGAUACUGUGCGACUAGAGUGCAGAAGGGGCAACUGGAAUUCUCGGUGUAGCGGUGAAAUGCGUAGAUAUCGAGAGGAACACCUGCGGCGAAGGCGGGUUGCUGGGCUGACACUGACGCUGAUGCGCGAAAGCCAGGGGAGCGAACGGG
rnacentral:rRNA from 1 species